AUCGAACGCAAGCGGGCUGCUUUAUACAUGCAAGUCGAACGAGUGGCGGACGGGUGAGUAAUAUCUCGGUAAGAGCCCAGUAGCAGGGGCUAACUACUCGCAACAGUGGCUAAUACCCCCUCCUAUUGGCGCGGCCGAUAUUGGAUUAGCUAGUUGGUGGGGUAAAGGCUCACCAAGGCAACGAUCCGUAGCUGGUUGGCGAGGACGACCAGCCACACUGGGACUGAGACACGGCCCAGACUCCUACGGGAGGAAGCAUGGGGGAAUUGUGGACAAGGGGGGAAGCCCUGCUCCAGCCAUCCCGCGUGGAGAAGAAGGCCUUCGGGUUGUAAAGUACUUUUGGCAGAGAAGCGGUAUCUGCAGAAUAAGCCCCGGCUAACUACGUGCCAGCAGCCGCGGUAAUAC
rnacentral:rRNA from 1 species